GGCAUUGUGAUUUAGUGGUUAGCAUGUUUGCCUCAUAUCACUGAGGUUGGGGGUUUGAAUCCCCCCUAGGCCU